rnacentral:rRNA from 1 species
AUGCAACCGGACAUGUGUCUGCCCAGCUAUUCAUAUGUGUCUAAUAAAUUCAUUUCACCGAUACUUUUUGUCUGCAUGUUAUGGAUUUCUGACUUUUCAGUACGGCACGCCUUGUGCAAUAAAAGAGGCCAGCGGAUUAAGACCCGCAAGCGGAAUAUCGCAGCUCCUUUGGACCCUUCGUCGUUCUCUGAUGCAAUUGUCCAGAUUUAUCUGGAUAAUGCUGGAGAUCUGGAACUUGUUGCCAAAAGUAUAGAGUCAUCAGAUCUCAACUUCUCACGUUACGGUGACACUUUCUUUGAGGUUGUUUUCAUUGGUGUGCGUACUCAGCCUGGUACGAUUAAACCCGAAGAAGAGGGAGAGCGCCACCCCUAUUCUCUCAUUGACUGUGCAGCACAACGUGAAGCAAUAUUACCUUAUGUCCUCUUUAUUCAGAAAACAUUGCGCAGGAGGCCUUUCUUAAUAAAAAGUCUUGAAAAUGUUAUGCGAAAGUUUCUCCAGUCCUUGGAGUUCUUUGAAGAAAAUGAGAGACAGAAACUUGCCAUUUUCACGGCACUUGCAUUUUCUCAGAAAUUAUCAGGUCUGCCACCUGAAACUGUCUUUCAGCCAUUGCUUAAGGACAAUCUUGUUGCCAAAGGGAUAGUUCUUUCAUUCAUUACUGAGUUCUUCAAGGAAUAUCUGAAGGAAAAUAGUUUGGAUGAUCUGAUUGCACUUUUAAAGAAAGGCAAAAUGGAGGACAAUUUACUUGAAUUUUUUCCAUCAGGAAAGAGAACCUCUGAGGCUUUGUCUGAGCAUUUCACCAAAGAAGGUUUGACUAGCCUUGUUGAGUACAAUACCAAGAAAAUGUUUGAAGUUAAGCUCAAGGAGAUAAAGUCAACUCUGACCACUAUGAUCAAUGAAGAAGCUGAAAUAUCUGAAGUAACUGAGGUUGUCAAGCAACAGGUUAAAGAUGCUAAAUUUCCUGAUAUAGAGGUUGUUCGCAUGCUGUGGGAUGUGCUGAUGGAGGCUGUUCAGUGGUCUGGAAAGAACCAGCAGCAAAAUUCUAAUUCAGCACUUAGGCAGGUGAAUGCUUGGGCUGGUCUUAUGAAUGCAUUUUGCACAAGUGGAAAGCUAGAACUGGAACUCAUAUACAAGGUCCAGACACAGUGUUAUGAGGAUGCUAAGUUGAUGAAGCUGUUCCCUGAAAUUAUAAGAUCACUGUAUGAUCAAGAUGUCCUAGCUGAAGAUACCAUACUUCUUUGGUUCCGCAAGGGUUCAAACCAAAAAGGAAGGCAAUCUUUCGUGAAAGCUCUGGAGCCUUUCGUCAAAUGGCUUGAGGAGGCAGAGGAGGAAGAAUAA